UACCAGCACCCCGAGUGGUCGGGACGAUUAUUGGGCCUAAAGCCUCCGUAGCCGGUCAUGCAAGUCCUCCGUUAAAUCCACCUGCUUAACAGAUGGGCUGCGGAGGAUACUACAAGGCUAGGAGGCGGAAGAGGCAAGCGGUACUCAGUGGGUAGGGGUAAAAUCCUCUGAUCCAUUGAAGACCACCAGUGGCGAAGGCGGCUUGCCAAUACGCGCUCGACGGUGAGGGAUGAAAGCUGGGGGAACAAACCGG
rnacentral:rRNA from 1 species